ACCACGUGACCUGUCAGUUCCUGACUCCUAGGAAGAUGGCCGCCGGGCGUGGUGCGGGCAUAGCUGUGUGCUCUUGGCGUCUUGUCCUCUGACAAGGUCUGCGGCGCUGUUCUGCAGAGCUGAGGGCGCCGUCUUCGGCCAGGCCGUGACACGGUGAAUUAAAGUCGGCUAUAGAUUUCUGUGAAAAUGUCGGUUCUUAUAUCACAGAGUGUGAUAAAUUAUGUGGAAGAAGAGAAUAUUCCUGCUCUGAAAGCCCUUCUUGAGAAGUGCAAAGAUGUAGAUGAGAGGAACGAGUGUGGCCAGACGCCACUGAUGAUAGCUGCUGAACAGGGCAAUGUGGAAAUAGUGAAAGAACUCAUUAAGAAUGGAGCCAACUGCAACCUGGAAGACCUGGAUAACUGGACUGCGCUUAUAUCAGCAUCUAAAGAGGGGCACAUCCACAUUGUGGAAGAGCUGCUGAAGUGUGGGGCCAAUCUGGAGCACCGUGACAUGGGGGGAUGGACAGCUCUCAUGUGGGCGUGCUACAAAGGCAGGACGGAUGUUGUGGAGUUGCUUCUUUCUCAUGGUGCCAACCCAAGUGUCACUGGUUUGCAGUACAGUGUCUACCCAAUCAUCUGGGCAGCGGGCAGAGGCCACGCCGACAUAGUGCAUCUUCUGCUGCAGAAUGGUGCGAAAGUCAAUUGCUCUGAUAAGUAUGGAACAACUCCUUUGGUGUGGGCUGCCCGAAAGGGUCAUUUGGAAUGUGUGAAGCAUUUGUUGGCCAUGGGAGCUGAUGUUGAUCAAGAAGGAGCUAAUUCGAUGACUGCACUGAUUGUGGCAGUGAAAGGGGGCUACACACAGUCAGUGAAGGAGAUUCUGAAAAGGAAUCCAAACGUGAACCUGACUGAUAAGGACGGAAACACAGCCCUGAUGAUUGCGUCGAAGGAGGGACAUAUAGAAAUUGUGCAGGACCUGUUGGACGCCGGAACAUACGUGAACAUACCUGACAGGAGUGGGGAUACUGUAUUGAUUGGCGCUGUGAGAGGUGGUCAUGUUGAAAUUGUUCGAGCACUUCUCCAAAAAUACGCUGAUAUAGACAUUAGAGGGCAGGACAAUAAGACUGCACUGUAUUGGGCUGUUGAGAAAGGCAAUGCGACAAUGGUGAGAGAUAUCCUGCAGUGCAAUCCUGAUACGGAAAUAUGCACGAAGGAUGGCGAGACACCACUAAUAAAGGCCACCAAGAUGAGAAAUAUUGAAGUGGUGGAGCUGCUGCUGGAUAAGGGGGCUAGGGUGUCUGCUGUGGACAAGAAAGGUGACACUCCCCUGCACGUUGCCAUCCGAGGGAGGAGCCGGAGACUGGCAGAACUUCUUUUACGGAACCCCAAAGAUGGACGGUUACUUUACAGGCCCAACAAAGCAGGCGAGACUCCCUACAACAUUGACUGCAGCCACCAGAAAAGCAUUUUAACUCAAAUAUUUGGAGCCAGACACUUGUCUCCUACGGAAACAGACGGUGACAUGCUUGGUUACGAUUUGUAUAGCAGCGCCCUGGCAGAUAUUCUCAGUGAGCCCACCAUGCAGCCACCCAUCUGUGUGGGCUUGUAUGCACAGUGGGGAAGUGGGAAGUCCUUCUUACUCAAGAAACUAGAAGAUGAAAUGAAGACGUUUGCAGGGCAGCAGAUUGAGCCCCUUUUCCAGUUCUCGUGGCUCAUCGUGUUCCUCAUCCUGCUGCUGUGUGGGGGGCUCGGCCUGGUGUUUGCUUUCACAGUUGAUACAAACCUCGCCAUAGCGGUUUCAUUGAGUUUCCUAGCUCUCUUAUACAUAUUCUUCAUCGUCAUUUACUUCGGUGGACGGCAGGAAGGAGAGAGUUGGAACUGGGCCUGGGCUCUCAGCACCAGACUGGCAAGGCACAUUGGGUACCUGGAGCUCCUCUUCAAGCUGAUGUUUGUGAACCCACCCGAACUACCAGAGCAAACGACAAAGGCUUUGCCUGUGAGGUUUCUGUUUACAGAUUACAAUAGACUCUCCAGUGUUGGGGGAGAGACUUCCUUGGCUGAAAUGAUCGCGACCCUCUCAGAUGCUUGUGAGAGAGAAUUCGGCUUUCUGGCUACCCGGCUGUUUCGAGUAUUUAAGACUGAAGAUUCUCAGGGUAAAAAGAAAUGGAAAAAAACAUGCUGUCUCCCGUCUUUUAUAAUCUUUCUUUUUAUUGUUGGCUGCAUUAUUGCUGGAAUUACUCUUUUGGCUAUAUUCCGAGUUGACCCAAAACAUCUGACAGUGAAUGCUAUCCUCAUAUCCAUUGCAUCUAUCGUGGGGUUGGCCUUUGUGCUGAACUGUCGAACAUGGUGGCAAGUGCUGGACUCUCUCCUGAAUUCUCAGAGAAAACGCCUCCAUAGUGCUGCCUCCAAAUUACAUAAGCUGAAAAGUGAAGGAUUCAUGAAAGUCCUGAAGUGUGAGGUGGAGCUGAUGGCCAGGAUGGCCAAGACCAUCGACAGCUUCACGCAGAAUCAGACGAGGCUGGUGGUUAUCAUUGACGGCCUGGACGCCUGUGAGCAAGAUAAAGUGCUGCAGAUGCUGGACACUGUCCGAGUUCUGUUUUCAAAGGGCCCUUUUAUUGCCAUUUUUGCAAGUGAUCCACAUAUUAUUAUAAAGGCCAUCAACCAGAACCUGAAUAGUGUGCUUCGUGAUUCAAAUAUAAAUGGACAUGACUAUAUGCGCAAUAUAGUUCAUUUACCAGUUUUCCUUAAUAGUCGUGGGCUUAGCAAUGCAAGAAAAUUUCUUGUAACUUCAGCAACAAAUGGGGACAUUUCGUGCUCAGAAGCAACAGGAGUGCAGGAGGAUGCUGACAGAAGAGUUUCACAGAACAGCCUUGGGGAGAUGACAAAGCUUGGUAGCAAAACGGCCCUCAACAGAAGGGAUACUUACCGCAGAAGGCAGAUGCAGAGAACCAUCACGAGGCAGAUGUCCUUUGAUCUCACAAAGCUGCUGGUUACUGAGGAUUGGUUCAGUGACAUCAGUCCACAAACCAUGAGACGGUUACUCAAUAUUGUUUCGGUGACAGGGCGGCUACUAAGAGCCAAUCAGAUUACUUUCAACUGGGACAGGCUAGCCAGCUGGAUCAACCUUACUGAGCAGUGGCCAUACCGGACGUCCUGGCUCAUACUAUAUCUGGGAGAGACUGAAGGUAUUCCUGACCAGAUGACGCUAAAGACCAUCUAUGAGAGAAUAUCAAAGAAUAUCCCAACAACUAAAGAUGUUGAGCCACUUCUUGAAAUUGAUGGAGAUAUAAGAAAUUUUGAAGUGUUUUUGUCUUCAAGGACUCCAGUUCUUGUGGCUCGAGAUGUAAAGACCUUUUUGCCAUGCACGGUAAACCUGGAUCCCAAACUACGGGAGAUCAUUGCAGAUGUUCGAGCUGCAAGAGAACAGAUCAACAUAGGAGGCCUUGCGUAUCCCCCGCUCCCUCUGCACGAAGCCCCUCCUCGGCCUCCUUCUGGGUACAGUCAGCCUGCAUCUGUCUGCUCCUCCUCAGCAUCUUUCAAUGGGCCGUUCCCAGGCGGCGUUGUGUCCCCACAGCCCCACAGCAGCUACUACAGCGGCCUGUCGGGACCCCAGCACCCUUUCUACAACAGGCCAUUCUUUGCCCCAUACCUUUACACGCCAAGGUAUUACCCUGGCGGUUCCCAACAUCUCAUCUCACGUUCAUCAGUAAAAACGAGUUUGCCCAGAGAUCAGAACAAUGGCCUAGAGGUAAUCAAGGAGGAUGCUGCUGAGGGCCUUCCUUCACCCACAGCCUCCUCGAGGGAGAAGAGCUGGACAAGAAAGCAGCUGAUGGAGCUGUGUGACUCUGGGUUUAACAAACAGAGACAGGCAUCCGUCCCUGCCACAGGCACCUCUCUGUUACUGAGUUCAAUGACUGUGGAUAUCGUGUGUGAGAAACUGAGACAGAUAGAAGGGCUGGACCAGGGCAUGCUGCCUCAGUAUUGCACAACCAUCAAAAAGGCAAACAUAAAUGGCCGGGUAUUGGCUCAGUGUAAUAUUGAUGAGCUGAAGAAAGAGAUGGCUAUGAACUUUGGAGACUGGCAUCUUUUUAGAAGCAUGGUCUUAGAAAUGAGAAGUGUGGAAAACCAGGUGGUCCCCGAAGACCCACGUUUUCUCAAUGAAAACUCCAGUGCCCCCGUUGCUCAUGGGGAAUCUGCUCGCCGCACUUCUCACAGUGAACUGCCCCACACGGAGCUUUCCAGCCAGACUCCCUACACCCUGAACUUCAGCUUUGAAGAACUGAACACGCUUGGCCUAGACGAGGGAGCCCCACGGCACAGUAAUCUGAGUUGGCAGUCACAAACUCGCAGAACCCCAAGUCUCUCGAGUCUCAAUUCCCAGGACUCCAGUAUUGAAAUUUCAAAGCUUACUGAUAAGGUGCAGGCCGAGUAUAGAGAUGCCUAUAGAGAGUACAUUGCUCAGAUGUCCCAGUUAGAAGGGGGCACAGGGUCGUCAACAAUAAGCGGCAGAUCUUCUCCACACAGCACAUACUACAUAGGUCAGAGUUCUUCAGGGGGCUCCAUUCAUUCUAAUCUAGAACAAGAAAGGGGGAAGGAGAAUGAGCUAAAGCAGGAGGAGGGGCGGAAGUCAUUUUUAAUGAAGAGGGGGGAUGUCCUAGAUUACUCCUCAUCAGGGGUGUCCACUAAUGAGGCCUCACCCCUGGACCCCAUUACUGAGGAAGAUGAGAAAUCCGACCAGUCAGGUAGUAAGCUGCUCCCAGGCAAGAAGUCUUCAGAACGGCCUAGUCUCUUCCAGACAGACUUGAAGCUUAAGGGAAGUGGUCUGCGCUACCAGAAACUGCCCAGUGAUGAAGAUGAGUCUGGGACAGAAGAGUCAGAUAAUACCCCACUGCUCAAAGAUGAUAAGGAUAAAAAGGCCGAAGGCAAAGCAGAGAGAGUGGCUAAGUCUCCAGAGCACAGCGUCGAGCCUAUCAGAACAUUCAUCAAAGCAAAAGAGUAUUUGUCGGACGCCCUCCUCGACAAGAAAGAUUCCUCCGAUUCGGGAGUGAGGUCCAAUGAGAGUUCUCCCAACCACUCUCUCCACAAUGAGGCAGCGGAUGACUCCCAGCUGGAAAAGGCGAAUCUCAUCGAGCUUGAAGAUGAGGGCCACAGUGGGAAGCGAGGGAUGCCACACAGUCUGAGUGGCCUGCAAGAUCCUGUCAUAGCUCGGAUGUCCAUUUGCUCGGAAGACAAGAAAAGCCCCUCUGAGUGCAGCCUGAUCGCUAGCAGCCCUGAAGAAAGCUGGCCUUCGUGCCAGAAGGCCUACAAUCUAAACCGAACACCCAGCACUGUGACUCUGAACAACAACACUGCGCCCACCAACAGAGCCAAUCAGAACUUUGAUGAGAUAGAGGGAGUCAGGGAAACAUCCCAGGUCAUUUUGAGGCCUGGGCCCAGUCCCAACCCAACUGCUGUGCAGAAUGAAAACCUGAAGAGCAUGGCGCACAAGCGAAGCCAGCGCUCCAGUUACACCAGGCUCUCGAAAGAUGCGUCUGAGCUGCAUGCAGCCUCCUCAGAUAGCACGGGCUUUGGGGAAGAGAGAGAAAGCAUUCUCUGAGGAAGAGAGAAGUGAAGUAGCGUUGUCCUACCUGAGGACAAGAGUGUCAUAAGCUUUGAGUUGACCCAUCCUCAUUACUCAUCGUGUUUAUGCAUCACAGACACCUGAUAGGUGGCAGGCACUGGGGAAGCAGACGGGAAAGCCUGACAGGACGGUCACCAGUCAUCUCCAUUGUCACCGUCACCACAGGCACUUUAACGUCUCACUACCACUGCUGUGCCCUUUCCUGACGCACAGCUCUGCAGAGAUGAGAUCAGGCUGAAUACAGAGAGAGGUCGGAAAUGUAUUUAAAUUGAAAGGGCUUAAGUCACAAGGAAAUAAACCCAGAGAUCUCCUUUAUAAACUAUUCAUGUAACAUUUGAGGGGAGAUAUAGUAUUAGAUGAAGCAGAAACCAAUUUCACUGGUAGUGUUUAAUCUUGGUGCAGAUUUAUAGGUUUUAGAGUAGCCCAGAAACUAAAAGUGAAUACCUAGCAAAUGGAUAGCCAGUGUUCUGUAUAAGAAUCAUUGCUUUUAAGAGGUCUUAAAAUUUAAGUAGAAAAUACAUACUAAAGAGGGCGUAAAAGUUGAUGAUUAAGUGAGUUAGCAGAGCCCAAAGCAGUGGCCUGGGCCAUGGUGAGUCGUUAGCAGAGGAGUUGGAGGAGGGCAGUGUAUUCCUGGGAUACUCUUUCCAACCCAGCCCUGGCUUCCGACACCACCCACCUGUGCCCUCAAAACCAUCUUAGUCUGUUCUGCAGCUACUAAGUAAUGCUCAUGGCUAAAGAAAAGUUAGUGGUACUGGUGAUGAAACGCAGGACCUCACAGAUCUAAGUCCUCUAGUGACUAGCUACGUCCCCAGCCCCAAGUGCUAGGCCUUUCCUUCCUCCAGAGAUUUGGGAAGACAUUAAAGGAGUUAGUGACGGUGGUACUAGACAAAUGACAGUAUUUAGUUUGCUAACAUUAAAUCACUGCCUCUGUACUGCAAUUAUUUAACGUAUCUGUUCCUAAAUCAGCAUUUUAGUUCUGGGGAGGGGGGUGGAUUAUAAAAAUGGAGGCAUGGUUUUAAAAAGGAAUUUGAAAGCAUACAACAAAGCAAGAAUAGAGGCGGAGCUGGUGUGACCUUGACACUUUUAUUAUUCUUAGCAGAGCUAGGAGAAUGACCACAUACAUUUAGGCUAGAGGUGUGCCUGUCUUCAUCCUGCAUUGAAACUGUUUGUCAUUUGAUCAUAGUGUGUUUACGUAGAUCAGCUCUAGUGGUGUGUCCUGAGCCAUGGGUAGAAUUGUAGAUGGUAAGGUUGCAGGCUUAGUGCUCAGUGAGAUGUCCAUCACUGACUGGACCUGUGUGGUUCACUUGACACUGUGCUCAUAGCUGCUCCGUGUCCCACUGCCUUGCUGUUUGAGUGUAAUUGAGCAUUUUCAUGAAGUGCAUAUGUUGCAUGAUCUUUAACAGGUAUUUUUAAACAUUAAAAACAGCACGAUGUUACUGACAUUAUGCAAUAUCAUGUGAUGGGUACUUGAGAGGCAGUUUGGUUUCUUUCCAGGUGAGUAGUUAUAGCUCACGGUCAUGGGAGCCCUUUAUUCACACUGUCUGUGAAGUUAAUGCUGGAGUGCCAAGUGCACACGGGGACUAGGAACAAUAAAGAGUUGCAUGCCAUUCUGACUCACGGAGUUUUAUUCACUAUAGCAAUGACAAUUCCCAUUCUGAUUAAAAAUUAAAACAUGAUCUGUGUGUCUGUUUUGUCCUAUGACUGGAGUAUGUAAAGACUUACAUGUAGGUCAUGAAAUUUUCAGAAUUUCCAGGCAGCCCUUAUUGUCUUUCUGAGAGAGGUUGGCUCCGAAGCCACUGUGCCUGCUUUCUUGAAGCACAGCAUCCCAGAGCACGUGGGCACCACAGCACUGAGAAGUCCAUCUCUGUAGCUAGAGGCAGUGGUCCAGAUCCCUGUAGAAUAGCAGCUUAUUAUGUGUACGUUCUGGACGUUGCUCUCUCCUAUUGACACAGAAAGUGACAGGCCAGAUGGAUCCCCGAGUCACCAUUAUUUCUGAGGCUGCAUGUCAGUGUGUGUCUGUGUCUAUAAUGCAUAGCUCAGUCUGAUUUUCACACAGGAAAAACUGCUUUAAGCUGAAUGAAACAAUAGAAAAGUGAGCCAAGCUUAAACCCUGCCAAUCUCAAAAACUCUGAGUCACUUGGCUCCACCUUCAGCUCUGUUGACAUAGCAUCCUAACACCAACACCGUGGCCUUCUGGAGGGUCAUUUUCUGAGUACAUCUGCAGCCCUGGCUGUCCUGGAACUCACUCACUCUGUAGACCAGGCUGACCUUGAACUCAGAGAGUCACCUGCCUCUGCUCCCCGGUGCCGGGAUUAAAGGCGUGAGUCUACUUUCCCAGUGCUGGAUGACUAAGACGUCUACACUGUGAAUUGUAAGCCUCACUGAGCGUAGUGAUUCUGCCUGUAAUCCCAGUACUCAGGAGACAGAAGCAGGAGAAUCAGGGGUUCAAGGUCAACCUCAGCUACAUAGAGAUUUUGAGACCCGCCUGAGCUGUGUGAGACCCUAUCUCAUAAAACUAAAAAUGCAAAUCUGAAGUAUUUUCAAUAAGAGAACUUGUUUUUGUGUGUUAUUUUGUAUAGGUUUUAAAUAUAGUCAGGAUAAUCUUAAUUGCCUAACCAAAGUAAUUUUAAGAGUUGUUUGUGCUUAAAUAAGUACUCAUCUCGAGAACUUAAGCUAAUUCGCAUGUUCUGGUGCUAUAAUAAAAUAAUCUGUGAUCAUGAUUUUUUUCUUACUAAUCAUUAGAAUUUUUUGAAUGAAAUUAAAUCUUUCUUUUUUCUUUUGGCCUAGCUAAAGUAUUAAAUUUAAAAGGUUUUAAGACCACGUAAUUUUUGGUUACACCAGGAAUUCUCAGCCUCUUUAGAAAUAUCCCUGAAUUAAAAAAAAAAAUCCAUGAAUUCCUGGCAAACUCCUGAAUAGAUCAAUGUACUUUCCAGGAAAAGAGAGCCUAGAGUCCCUUUUAAUUUAUGGGUGAAUGACCUUGAAGGAUUAGGUAGAAAGGAGGGUGCUAUCAAAUUAACAUUUUUGGCAAAUCUGUGCUAUGGGUCCCAUCCUACCUUAUCCCCCGUCUUCUUUCCUGGGCUAAGUAGACACAGCAGAAUGCAAGUGAAUGGGGACCCCCUCGUGCUUGGGGCAGGUGAGCCCUCUGACGUGGCACCCUUGGGCACUCAAGCUGAAGUCUAGGCUGGAGUUACACAGUGAGCUGAGCACUAGAGAUUUACCGAUAGCAGUGAGCUGGCUCUGGACAGGGUUUAAUUGGCUCAUCGCUUGGCAAAGGUUGAGAAUCCCUGGUUGAGACUAAUUAAGUAGAAAGAGAUUUAAAGUCUUACAUAAUGUUAAACCCUUUCCUGCCUAGGAAGAAAAUGCCGCCCCUGUGCUAGAUAGACAGCGGUUCAGAAGAUCCAGUUUAAACUGAGGCAACAAGGGCUCUAGAACCUUAGUAUCUGCCCAUAGACCAAGCAGCGCUUCUUUCUCAUUCUCCUGACAAUUCGGUUAAUUUUCCCAGCUGGCUUCCUCACCACGUAUAAGGGGGUGAAGAAGACACGGCCAUCACUCUAGCCAGAGAAGAAAUGUGUCACCUUAACCAGAUGUAUCUGUUCUCUGUAAUUGUAGGAUUUAAGUUAGGUUUUAAAGAAGUGUUACUUUUAUGAGAUUUUAGGCUAAAGCCCAAUGUAUAGAAAAAAAUUGUAAAUAACCCAGCCUCUCCUCUCAUGUCCUGUAGCAUAUUCUUGGUCAGAUAACUAAUAAAACAUAGAUAUUUUCAAAAUUG